GUCCGAUUUGUUGUCAAACAAUCUUUGCGCUUCAAGGGCUUUGGUCCAUAAUUGAAGAAUUAUUUUAUUUGGUUCCACACAUUAUUUUAUUGAGACAAAUAAAACUUGGCAAGUCUUCCAGGAAACUCCUCUAUUUUAUCCUUCGUUACUAUUCUAGCACAAUUCAGAAUUGGGAAAUCAUCUAGGAAUUUGAGGUUGAUUAAGCUUGCCAUACCUGGGGGUACUUCCUCAAUUCUAGUAUUUGUGAGGACCAAAUGUAUCAAUUUUUGAGCUUUUCCAGUGAUGGCACUGAUUCCAGUUCUUUACAAUGUAAUGUUCUAAGAUUAUCCAAGUCUGCUAUGCAAUAUGGCAAGUUCUGAAAUUUAGUGAGACGCAAAUCGAGAGUGUAGAUCAUGCAUGUGCUCAAAGAAACAAUCUGACACUUGGGCGACGUGCCAGGCGAAUUUCCUUUUUAAUCAUCAAGGAAUUUUAUUUAAAUCUUCUGUCCAUUUUUGCACCUGUUAUUUCCCUCAAGUGAAGUCCAGCUUUUACCAUGUAUAUCUAGGUCAUGUUUAUUUAUCGCUAUUGCCAUGACUCUGAUGAAAUCAUGUCCGUAUCUGUUGAAGCCCUUUCUAGUAAGAAGGCUCUCUCCAAUUGAUUUAGUAUUGCAUGACCUUGGUCAAUCUCAACUCUCCAGAUAAAUCUUCACUCCAUCAGCUCUCCGAAAUGACUUUUUCAAUCAAUUUGUCUCUUGGACUAUGAUAGUCUUCAGGAUACACAGAGCAAUACAAAAACAUUUUAGUUUU
rnacentral:lncRNA from 1 species